UAGAGUUGAUCAUGGCUCAGAACGAACGCUGGCGGCGCGUUUUAAGCAUGCAAGUCGAGCGGCAAGGGUCUUCGGGCCCCUAGAGCGGCGGACGGGUGAGUAACACGUGGACAAUCUGCCCCCCGGCCGGGGAUAGCCCAGGGAAACCUGGAUUAAUACCGGAUGAGACGGGACCCGCGGAGGCGGGAUCCGGGAAAGGCGCUGCGGCGCCGCCGGGGGAUGAGUCUGCGUCCCAUUAGCUUGACGGCGGGGUAACGGCCCACCGUGGCGACGAUGGGUAGCCGGCCUGAGAGGGUGUACGGCCACAUUGGAACUGAGACACGGUCCAGACUCCUACGGGAGGCAGCAGCUAAGAAUCUUCCGCAAUGGGCGAAAGCCUGACGGAGCGACGCCGCGUGAACGAAGAAGGCCGUGAGGUUGUAAAGUUCUUUUCGGGAGGGGGAACAACCGUGGCAGGGAAUGGCCGCGGGAUGACGUGAAUCCCGGAAUAAGCCCCGGCUAACUACGUGCCAGCAGCCGCGGUAACACGUAGGGGGCGAGCGUUGUUCGGAAUCAUUGGGCGUAAAGGGCGUGCAGGCGGUCCUGCAAGUCCGGCGUGAAAGACCCCGGCCCAACCGGGGGGGCGCGCUGGAAACUGCAGGGCUUGAGUACAGGAGGGGAUGCCGGAAUUCCAGGUGUAGGGGUGAAAUCUGUAGAUAUCUGGAGGAACACCAAUGGCGAAGGCAGGCAUCUGGCCAUGUACUGACGCUGAGACGCGAAGGUGCGGGGAGCAAACAGGAUUAGAUACCCUGGUAGUC
rnacentral:rRNA from 1 species